GUGAGUCAUCGAAUCUUUGAACGCACAUUGCGCCCGUCAGUAUUCUGGCGGGCAUGCCUGUUCGAGCGUCAUUACGCCCCUCAAGUCCCCUGUGGACUUGGUGUUGGGGAUCGGCGAGGCUGGUUUUCCAGCACAGCCGUCCCUCAAAUUAAUUGGCGGUCUCGCCGUGGCCCUCCUCUGCGCAGUAGUAAAACACUCGCAACAGGAGCCCGGCGCGGUCCACUGCCGUAAAACCCCCCAACUUUUUAUAGUUGACCUCGAAUCAGGUAGGACUACCCGCUGAACUUAAGCAUAUCAAUAAGCGGAGGA
rnacentral:misc_RNA from 1 species